rnacentral:rRNA from 1 species
AUUGAACGCUGGCGGCAGGCCUAACACAUGCAAGUCGAGCGGGGUUUUCGGACCUAGCGGCGGACGGGUGAGUAAUGCGUAGGAAGCUACCCGAUAGAGGGGGAUACCAGUUGGAAACGACUGUUAAUACCGCAUAAUGUCUACGGACCAAAGUGUGGGACCUUCGGGCCACAUGCUAUCGGAUGCGCCUACGUGGGAUUAGCUAGUUGGUGAGGUAAUGGCUCACCAAGGCGACGAUCCCUAGCUGGUUUGAGAGGAUGAUCAGCCACACUGGAACUGAGACACGGUCCAGACUCCUACGGGAGGCAGCAGUGGGGAAUAUUGGACAAUGGGCGCAAGCCUGAUCCAGCCAUGCCGCGUGUGUGAAGAAGGCCUUCGGGUUGUAAAGCACUUUCAGUAGGGAGGAAGAGUUAAGUGUUAAUAGUACUUAACUUUGACGUUACCUACAGAAGAAGCACCGGCUAACUCUGUGCCAGCCGCCGCAGUAAUAC